AUUGAACGCUGGCGGCAUGCCUUACACAUGCAAGUCGAACGGCAGCACGGGAGCAAUCCUGGUGGCGAGUGGCGAACGGGUGAGUAGUAUAUCGGAACGUGCCCGGUCGUGGGGGAUAACGUAGCGAAAGCUACGCUAAUACCGCAUACGAUCUACGGAUGAAAGCGGGGGAUCGCAAGACCUUGCGCGAUUGGAGCGGCCGAUAUCAGAUUAGGUAGUUGGUGAGGUAAAGGCUCACCAAGCCGACGAUCUGUAGCUGGUCUGAGAGGACGACCAGCCACACUGGGACUGAGACACGGCCCAGACUCCUACGGGAGGCAGCAGUGGGGAAUUUUGGACAAUGGGCGCAAGCCUGAUCCAGCAAUGCCGCGUGCAGGAUGAAGGCCUUCGGGUUGUAAACUGCUUUGUACGGAACGAAACGGUGAGCUCUAAUACAGUUUGCUAAUGACGGUACCGUAAGAAUAAGCACCGGCUAACUACGUG
rnacentral:rRNA from 1 species